AAGCCGGCAUUGUAAAACAGAACCAAACAAAACAUUUAAAAAAAAUGAAUGUAAAUCAGAACGGAUCAGGACCGGGAACGGCGUCAGGACAGCGAUCGAAAUCGCAAUCGGGACCUGGACUAGCAACGAUAUCAGUACUGACACCGAUAUCAGGACGAGUACCGGUAUCUGUACUGGCACCGGUAUCAGGACGGGCACUGGCAUCAGGACAGGCACCGGUAUCAGGACGGGCUUCGGGAAUAGGGCUGGCAUCGGGAUCAGGCCUGGCAUCGGGAGCAGGACUGGCACCGGUAUCAAGACUGGCACCGAUUUCAGGACGAGCAUCAGGAUCAGGACGGACACCGGUAUCAGGACGCGCUUCGGGAUCAGGCCUGGCAUCGGGAUCAGGACUGGCUUCGGGAGCAGGACUGGCAUCGGUAUCAGGACUGGCACAGAUUUCAGGACGGGCAUCGGGAGCAGGACGGGCUUCGGGAUCAGGCCUGGAAUCGGGAGCAGGACUGGCUUCGGGAUCAGGACGUGAACCGCGUAAAUAUAUGCGUGAGGACGUGGAGCUCUGCUUACGGAUGGCUAAUGCGGUAGAAAAACAGAACAUCAUCUACAAUAAAAAAUCUCCGCAUUACAAAAACCGAGACCGUCAAAAAGAUAAUGGAUGUGUGUCGCAGAAGAGGUCGGGUUGACCAUGGCAGAGGCCAAAAAAAAUGUGGCACAACAUGCUGGCCAAAUAUCGGUCACACCGAUCCAAAGUGCGCCAGAGCAUGCAGACCGGGUCAGCUUAUCCUGAUGAUGAUGAUGAUGUUGAAAUAUCCCACACCAUACAUAAUGCUACUGACGGAAGUGUUGCUCCGUCGCAGUGCCUAACGCUGGUGCUAAACACGGUUAUAUUUUUCCUUUUGGAUACCGGAGAGUGUCUCCGAAGAACGUGCGAUUUUGUUAAUGUUGUGUAAACGCGCUUUCGUUAUUUAGGCUCUGAUAGCUCAUAUACUGUUAAGUUGAUGACCGUAUAUAGGUUAGCUAACAGUGCACUUUUGUUGGAGGUUUUUUUACUUUUUCUUGAGGUCGUAAGCCGCCAUAGCACUUCUAGGUGCCAUAGCACUUCACCCGUCAAAGGAUCUAGGUUGACGAAUCGUUAAGAGAUCAUUAUUAUUUAAAAAAAAAAACAAAAGUAAAAUACAAAUGUUGCUAUAAGCAAACAUACUCAGGUGAACGCGUCUGCAUUUCGAUCCCGCAACUCCUCCAAACAUGACCAAACCAGCACUGCACACCACAAAGAAUCCAGCAAACCAGCACCUUACCCGAUUCCCGCACUAAAAAUGCUUAAUCUUCCAUAUCAUCCCAUUAAGUGGUGGUGGUGAUGAGAAGAGAAAUUAGAGAUGAUUUAACAUCAUUUAAAACUCUUAUUAAUCCGUGUUUUUUCCAGGCGAUUUCUAUGACUGAUGAGGAAACUCUUCAGCUCAUUGAUGUCAUCUUUCGGCACUCCGCUAUUUGGGACAGAAAACACCCACAGUAUAAAAAUAUCAAUCGCAGAAAUGAUGACUGGAGCGUAAUUUCUGUUGAAAUAGGGCGUCUGUUGCGUACGACCUCAUUAUGAAGUAAAAGCAUUUAUGCGGAUGUAGCGAAGUAAAACACUUCAAGAUAAAACACCUUAAGUUAAAACAAAGUUCAAGCAAAACACGCCUCAAGCGAUAGCGCGCGCUUCAGAAAGCAACAAACAUAAACAGGUAGUCAACCGUUCUCACGGUUCAAACGAGGAAGUAACUUUACGCAAUUCAUAAACCAUAAACAUGUCACAUGUCGCAUUAAGUAUAAAUACAUCUUGUUAUCAAAAUAGUCAUAGUCACAGUUAGCUGACCUAUAUGCGGUCAGCAACUAAAUAGCAUAUAAGAGAUGAAAACCUAAAUAAAGUAAGCGCAUUCGAACACAAACCUCAGAAUCGCUCGUUUCUUAAUAGUCGGAGGCACUCUCCGGUCGACGAAGGAAAAAUAUACCCGACUCGGUGUAAAGCACCGGCGUUGGGCGCUGCGACGGAGCAACACAUCCGCCAGCAGCAUUAAUGGUGGCUCCAGAGAGGAACUAACGACCUCCUCGUAGUGAAUAGCACGUGAUUCAGACCAGCAUAAGCGCCGAAGCACCGUGAGUGAAAUAGAACGGCAACUAAGUGCGUAAAACAGCAAGUCCGCCAAAAAACCGCGAGUGAAAGUGCGUAAAAUAGUGAAGAUCACAACCGUGAGUGAAAUAGAUAGGCAACAAGGUGCGUAAACCAGCACGACCGCCAAAACACCGCGAGUUAAAGUGAGUGAAAUAGUAAGGAUCACAACCGUGAGUGAAAUAGAUCGGCAACAAGGUGCGCAAACCAGCACGACCGCCGAAACACCACGAGUGAAAGUGCGUAAAGUAAUAGGAAUCAGCACCGUGAGUGGAAUAGAUCGGGAAUAAGGUGCGUAAACCAGCACGACCGCCGAAACACCACAAAUGAAAGUGCACAAAGCAUUAAAAUCAACACCAGGAGUGAAAUAGAACGGCAAAUAAGUGCGUGACUAAGCACGACCGCCGAAACACCAUAAGAAUAAGGUGACAUCAUAAACAAAACCCGAGAACCGUUAGCGAACACAAGAGCACGGAGGGUACCGACAACGAUAUAAACAAACCAACGGCAAAACGUCAAAAAGCCAAAUCACCCAAAUGACAAUGGGACCCCCUAAAAAUUGGUCAAAAAAUGACAGAUUUUUGACAGGAUCGGAUUUUGGUUCGGAUUGAAUCAAAAUCCGAUCUUCUCAGAGGUGAGCGAAUCAAUAGUGAGAAAGCCAUGGUGAGUAGCCAUAGUGAAUUAUCGAAAAAAAGCCAAAUCUCACGCCUUUCAAUGUGCGUUUUUGUUUCGUGUGGCCAUGGCUGCAUAUACGUCAUAUCUGUUGUACCUGCGGUGUGUGUUGUGUGGUAUUGUGUGUCGGUGUGAAUUUUGUGCAGCGUGUGGAAGUUACUGGUGGAAAGUGGGUGGAAGGGACAAUGUGUAAACUUUUAUUGUGUUGAAUUUAACCGCGGUGUGGCUGGUGUCGAUCCAUGUGCUGGUGUUCAUCAUCCCGGGUGUGCUGUACAUAGGCUAUUCCUCGCGCGCUAGGACGAUGCAGUUACAAAGCAGCAAAAUGCGGCGCUCAAUGAACGACGGUAGUGCGGUAAAAUCAUGCAUAGCCUGUUACGCGGUAAGGUGCUUUUUGAAGCGUUUGUUUUAGAUUUCUGCUCUGAUUUUAUAGUUAGUAACAAAGAUCAACCUAAAUCUGGAUUAUAUUAAUGAUGGUAAAUUUGGGAUCGUCAAAUACGGCUAGUGUGGAGUAGGACAUGUCCGUCGCGGAGUCGUAAGUUCAAGUAUAGAGUGGAUCGAGCCCCGUCCGGCUGCAAUGACUGAUUUAUCCAGCUGCGUCGUAUUGAAUGAGUCUCAAACGUUGUAAUAGGCUGGCAUGAUCGAGCAGGUCGUUACACCUAAUCGAUAAAGUUUUAAAAAUAAAAUGCGAUAAAAACUAAUACGGUUGAGAUAAAUUUGAAAAGAAACCCCGAUUUGUGGGGAUGAUUUGUUUUAUUUAAGUUGUAUUAUAGAGCGCAAUAUAUGUAUACGUUGAACUUAAGUUUAGUAAAGUAAAUAUAACUAUUAGUCAAAUAUAUUGGGAAUACGCUUAA